GAUGAACGCUGGCGGCGUGCUUAACACAUGCAAGUCGAACGCCCCGCCAGGGGAGUGGCCGACGGGUGAGUAACGCGUGGGAACAUACCCUUUCCUGCGGAAUAGCUCCGGGAAACUGGAAUUAAUACCGCAUACGCCCUACGGGGGAAAGAUUUAUCGGGGAAGGAUUGGCCCGCGUUGGAUUAGCUAGUUGGUGGGGUAAAGGCCUACCAAGGCGACGAUCCAUAGCUGGUCUGAGAGGAUGAUCAGCCACAUUGGGACUGAGACACGGCCCAAACUCCUACGGGAGGCAGCAGUGGGGAAUAUUGGACAAUGGGCGCAAGCCUGAUCCAGCCAUGCCGCGUGAGUGAUGAAGGCCUUAGGGUUGUAAAGCUCUUUCACCGAUGAAGAUAAUGACGGUAGUCGGAGAAGAAGCCCCGGCUAACUUCGUG
rnacentral:rRNA from 1 species